AUUGAACGCUGGCGGCAGGCCUAACACAUGCAAGUCGAAUGGUAACAGGAAACAGCUUGCUGUUUCGCUGACGAGUGGCGGACGGGUGAGUAAUGUCUGGGAAACUGCCUGAUGGAGGGGAUAACUACUGGAAACGGUAGCUAAUACCGCAUAACGUCGCAAGACCAAAGAGGGGGACCUUCGGGCCUCUUGCCAUCAGAUGCGCCCAGAUGGGAUUAGCUAGUAGGUGGGGUAACGGCUCACCUAGGCGACGAUCCCUAGCUGGUCUGAGAGGAUGACCAGCCACACUGGAACUGAGACACGGUCCAGACUCCUACGGGAGGCAGCAGUGGGGAAUAUUGCACAAUGGGCGCAAGCCUGAUGCAGCCAUGCCGCGUGUAUGAAGAAGGCCUUCGGGUUGUAAAGUACUUUCAGCGGGGAGGAAGGGAGUAAAGUUAAUACCUUUGCUCAUUGACGUUACCCGCAGAAGAAGCACCGGCUAACUCCGU
rnacentral:rRNA from 1 species